rnacentral:rRNA from 1 species
UAGAGCGGCGGACGGUUGAGUAACGCGUAGGAAUCUACCUAGUAGAAGGGGAUAGCCCGAGGAAACUCGGAUUAAUACCGUAUACCUCCUUAGGGAGAAAGAGGGCUUAGCUUUGAUGCUCUCGUUAUUAGAUGAGCCUGCGUAAGAUUAGCUUGUUGGUGAGGUAAUGGCUCACCAAGGCGACGAUCUUUAGCUGGUCUGAGAGGACGAUCAGCCACAUUGGGACUGAGACACGGCCCAGACUCCUACGGGAGGCAGCAGUGGGGAAUAUUGGACAAUGGGCGCAAGCCUGAUCCAGCCAUACCGCGUGUGUGAAGAAGGCUUUCGGGUUGUAAAGCACUUUAAGUAAGGAGAAAAAGAUUGUAGUUAAUACCUGCAAUCCUUGAUGUUACUUACAGAAUAAGGACCGGCUAAUUCCGUGCCAGCAGCCGCGGUAAUACGGAAGGUCCAAGCGUUAAUCGGAAUUACUGGGCGUAAAGCGCGCGUAGGUGGUUUUUUAAGUUGGAUGUGAAAGCCCUGGGCUCAACCUAGGAACUGCAUCCAAAACUAGAUGACUAGAGUACGAAAGAGGGAAGUAGAAUUCACAGUGUAGCGGUGGAAUGCGUAGAUAUUGUGAAGAAUACCAAUGGCGAAGGCAGCUUCCUGGUUCUGUACUGACACUAAGGUGCGAAAGCGUGGGUAGCGAACAGGAUUAGAUACCCUGGUAGUCCACGCCGUAAACGAUGACAACUAGCUGUUGGGAGACAAGAUCUCUCAGUGGCGCAGCUAACGCUUAAGUGUCCGC